UACGUAGGGUGCAAGCGUUGUCCGGAAUUAUUGGGCGUAAAGAGCUCGUAGGCGGUCUGUCGCGUCUGCUGUGAAAACUCAGGGCUUAACCCUGAGCUUGCAGUGGGUACGGGCAGACUAGAGUGCGGUAGGGGAGACUGGAAUUCCUGGUGUAGCGGUGAAAUGCGCAGAUAUCAGGGAGGAACACCAGCGGCGGAAGGCGGCGCUCUGGGCCGGUACUGACGCUGAGGAGCGAAAGCGUGGGUAGCAAACAGG
rnacentral:rRNA from 1 species